ACUCUAAGAUUCCAUGAUUCUAUGAAAUGGGUCUGAACUCAUGACAGCCACCCACCAUUUUCAUAUUCAAAACUGCUUCCCACCCCAACCCCUUCUUGAUUACUAUAUAUAAAUAAGACAUUAAAGUAGACAAAUAAUAACUUACAAAAAGAAUCAAUAAAUGUCUCACCCUUUGUCUAUAAACCUUGAUCAGAAUCCCAUGUCAGGUUUUCUUUUGUGAAUUAAAUAAAAUGGUUUCAACCAGUUUUUAAUAGCCAAGAAUCCAAUGUAGAGCUUGGGGUACAUUUAAACGUAAUACUGGACAGAUUUCUACAGGGUGUGGAGAGGGGUUAUUUUGAACUAUGAAGUGAGAAACAGCAGCUGUAGUCGAGGCCAGAAGUGCUUUCCCUUGGUGACCCCACCGUGUUGAAAAGGGGGGGGGUGUUUGCAAGGGGUUUCUGUCCUGUCCAGAAAUGCACCGUGCUGGAUGAAGCCAGCUCGAGAUCUUUUCUAAAUAAAUGGAAUAAAACCACUUAACCCACUGAAAGAUAGAUUUGAAAAGUGACUGUGAAGGGGAACAAUGCCCGUUAUGAAGCAAGAUAGCUAAAGUAACGGGAUCAUGUCCUCCAUUGUGACACGUCCCUCUGCUGAGUGACUUGGCUGAGCACUUUGGGAAGAACAACCAUUUGAGGAUAGCAAGUGAGGGAGAUCAGAGAUGUUGCGGUAGAGAAUUCAAAGGCUCUCUUCGUCUCAGGUGUAAGUAGGAUUUCUCCUUCUUUCUGAAACGUAGGGGAGGUUUAGCUGCCAGGUGCCCCAAAUCCAGCACAGAGAUCUCUAGAACCCAUUUCCUCACUGUUUCCUCCUCUUCCCUAGGUUCCAAAGUCUGAGGAGGCUCCGCAGGCUGCUGGUCUCCUGCUGCUGGUUGCCCAAGGUACAUCCCCUGGUCUGCCAGAAGGAGGAAGGAGAUGAGUGGAAGGAGGAGGUGAACAUCAUGAAAGACGGAAAGGAGGAGAAGGUUAAGAUAAGAUCGAUUUUUGUGAGACCAUGAGACCAGGGGAUGGAGUCCACCGAUAACAACGUGGAUGGCAACGGCAGCAGUGAGACCAGCAGCUCGAGCGGAGCGCUUACCCCCCCUCCCACGCCCAGUUCCCCCCUCCCCACAAUUCCAAAUAUAUAAAUAAAGAAAUAUAGAAAU